rnacentral:rRNA from 1 species
AUGGACACGGACGCCGCCGUGAACGUGACGGCGGCCGCGGCCAAGGCAGCGGCCGAUGCCACGGCGACGGUGAAGCCCGUGGCGGCGGCGUGCUAUGACAACAACCUGGUGAACUCGCAGGGCAUGUUCCUGGGGGACCAGCCGCUGCGCUUCGCCCUCCCGCUCCUCCUCAUCCAGGUCUCCCUCAUCCUCCUGCUCUCCGCCGCCGCCCACCACGUGCUCCGCCGCCUCGGCCAGUCCCGCUUCGUCACCCACAUGCUCGUCGGCAUCCUCCUCGGCCCCUCCGUGCUCGGCCGCAACCACGAGCUCCGCGGCGCCCUCUUCUCCGAGCGCGGCACCUACAUCCUCGAGAGCGUCUCGCUCGUCGCGCUCAUCCUCUUCUUGUUUUCCAUGGGCGUCAAGACGGACAUGAGCCUGCUCCGCCGCCCCAGCGGCCGCGCCGUCGCCGUUGGCCUCGCUGGCUCCGUCGUCCCGCUCGCCAUCACGCUCCCGGUGUUCCACAUGCUACAGCCCACCCUCCCCGCCGACCUUCGCGGCUCGUCGCUCAUCACCGAGAUCGCCGUGCGCCUCUCGCUCUCCUCCUUCCCCGUCAUCGCCGACGCGCUCGCCGAGCUCGACCUCCUCAACUCCGAGCUCGGUCGCAUCGCGCUCACCGCGUCCCUCAUCACCGACGUCACCUCCUGGUUCCUCCGAGCCUGCUUCGCCGCGGCGUUCCUCGUCACGGAGGCCAAGUCGCCCGCAUUCACUACCAACAUCCUCGCCUCCUUCGUCGGCUUCGUCUUCUUCGUCGCCUUCGUGGCACGCCCCGCCGGACGCUACAUCGCCUACAAGCGCACGCCGGCGGGUGACCUCCUAUCGGAGGGUUCCUUCGUCGUCGUGGUGAUCGCGGCACUCCUGUCGGCGCUGGUGACGGAUGUGAUCGGGUUCAAGUACAUGAUCGGGCCGAUGAUGCUGGGGCUCGCGAUCCCCGGUGGCAUGCCGAUCGGCGCCACCAUGACGGAGCGGCUCGACUCCUUCUUCAUCGCGCUCUUCCUCCCCGUGUAUAUGGCGCUCGCCGGCUACCGCACAGACUUCUCAGAGCUGGGCGGCCACGAGGAGAAAUGGUGCGCGCUGGAGCUGUUCGUGGCCCUAUGCGUCGCCGGAAAGAUGGUGGGCUGCAUAGCCGCGGGGCUCUUCUUCGCCAUGCCGAUCGGAGAGGCCACGGCUCUGGCGCUCAUGCUCAACAUCCGGGGCAUCGUGGAGGUGGCCGCCAUCAACAACUGGGGAGACACAAUGAAGGCCACUGCCGAGCAUUACUCGACGCUGACCUUGUCCAUGGUGCUCAUCACGGCAGCGGCCACGCCGCUCAUCAAGAUCCUCUACGACCCGACAGGGAGGUUCGCGAGGGCCAAGCGGCGGACCAUGGAGGGCGCUCGGCCCAACGCGGAGCUCCGUGUGAUGGCCUGCCUCUACACGGAGGACCACGCCGCGCCGCUCAUCGACCUCCUCGAGGCCUCCGGCGCGAACCACGACUUCCCCGUCUCCCUCAUCGUGCUCCACCUCACCGAGCUCGUCGGCCGCGCCGCCUCCGUGCUCAAGCCGCACAAGAAGUCGUCCACGUCCACCGCAUCAUCGCCGUCGGACCGCAUCGUGAACGCGUUCCGCCACUUCGAGCAGCAGGCGGCGCCGGGGGCGGUGACGGUGAGCCCCUACGUCGCCCAGUCUCCCUACAGCUCCAUGCACCAUGACGUGUGCUCGCUAGCGCACAGCCGGAAGGCCAACCUCAUCCUCCUCCCGUUCCACAAGUCCUCGGACGGGGCGCGCAGCACGGCCAACUCCGCCGUCCGCUCCGCCAACCGCGCCGUGCUCCAGUACGCGCCCUGCUCCGUCGCCAUCCUCGUGGACCACGGCCUUGCGUCCGGGUCUGCGUGCGCCACGGCGUCCAACAGGAACCUGCUCCAGAGGGUGGCCCUCUACUUCCUGGGGGGACCCGACGACCGGGAGGCGCUGGCGUACGCGGCGAGGAUGCCGGAGAGCGGGGGGACGUCGGUGACGGUGGUGCGGAUCAAGCUGCGGAACUGGGUUGGGAUGGGCGGGCACGACGAGGUGAGGGACGAGGAGGUGCUCCAGGAAUUCUGGCAAAGGUACAGGGAAGACGAGAGGGUGGUGUACGUGGAGAAGACGGUGGAGGACGGGGAGGGGACAGCGUCGGUGGUGAGGUCCAUGAGCGACAAGUUCGACCUGGUCAUCGUCGGACGGAGAGGGGAGGACAGGGACGUCGAGGGGUCGGCGCUCACAAGCGGCCUCUCGGAGUGGAGCGAGUGCCCGGAGCUGGGCGUGCUCGGUGACAUGCUCGCCACCGCGGAGUUCGCGUCCAAAGUGUCCAUCCUCGUCAUCCAGCAGCAGGCCGGGAUUACCACCGGCGGCGAUGCCGACUAUCAAUGA